rnacentral:lncRNA from 12 species
AAUUUCUCUCUCUGCCCUUCCACAGAACCUCGGGGUUCUGUCCCAGUUUGCUUCCUAAAUGUCAUUUUGGCUGCAGCGGGGCACUGGAAGGGGUUCAAAGCAGGCAAAGGAUGAAGGGAAGUUCUCAGAGGCAGCUCCAGGAGCAAAUCAACAGAACGUCCUGCCCGGGGAGAUAACGGGGCUCUGCGGGGACACGGGGACACAGGGGACAUGCCAGGAGUGUCCCCUGCCAGGGACACAGGGACACAGGGGACAUGCCAGGAGUGUCCCUGCAGGGACACAGGGACACAGGGGACAUGCCAGGAGUGUCCCUGCAGGGACACAGGGACACAGGGGACAUGCCAGGAGUGUCCCUGCAGGGACACAGGGACACAGGGGACAUGCCAGGAGUGUCCCUGCAGGGACACAGGGACACAGGGGACAUGCCAGGAGUGUCCCUGCAGGGACACAGGGACACAGGGGACAUGCCAGGAGUGUCCCUGCAGGGACACAGGGACACAGGGGACAUGCCAGGAGUGUCCCUGCAGGGACACAGGGACACAGGGGACAUGCCAGGAGUGUCCCUGCAGGGACACAGGGACACAGGGGACAUGCCAGGAGUGUCCCUGCAGGGACACAGGGACACAGGGGACAUGCCAGGAGUGUCCCUGCAGGGACACAGGGACACAGGGGACAUGCCAGGAGUGUCCCUGCAGGGACACAGGGACACAGGGGACAUGCCAGGAGUGUCCCUGCAGGGACACAGGGACACAGGGGACAUGCCAGGAGUGUCCCUGCAGGGACACAGGGACACAGGGGACAUGCCAGGAGUGUCCCUGCAGGGACACAGGGACACAGGGGACAUGCCAGGAGUGUCCCUGCAGGGACACAGGGACACAGGGGACAUGCCAGGAGUGUCCCUGCAGGGACACAGGGACACAGGGGACAUGCCAGGAGUGUCCCUGCAGGGACACAGGGACACAGGGGACAUGCCAGGAGUGUCCCUGCAGGGACACAGGGACACAGGGGACAUGCCAGGAGUGUCCCUGCAGGGACACAGGGACACAGGGGACAUGCCAGGAGUGUCCCUGCAGGGACACAGGGACACAGGGGACAUGCCAGGAGUGUCCCUGCAGGGACACAGGGACACAGGGGACAUGCCAGGAGUGUCCCUGCAGGGACACAGGGACACAGGGGACAUGCCAGGAGUGUCCCUGCAGGGACACAGGGACACAGGGGACAUGCCAGGAGUGUCCCCUGCAGGGACACAGGGACACAGGGACACAGGGACACAGGGACACAGGGGCCAUCCCAGGAUUGUCCCCUGCGGGUGGCACAGGGGCUGUGCCCUUUGCUUAAGAAUUCCCCUCUGGGCUGUGAUUUAUUCCUCUGAGGUUGAUUUUUU